rnacentral:rRNA from 1 species
UACAGAGGUCUCAAGCGUUGUUCGGAUUCAUUGGGCGUAAAGGGUGCGUAGGCGGCGCGGUAAGUCGGGUGUGAAAUCUCGGAGCUUAACUCCGAAACUGCAUUCGAUACUGCCGUGCUUGAGGACUGGAGAGGAGACUGGAAUUUACGGUGUAGCAGUGAAAUGCGUAGAGAUCGUAAGGAAGACCAGUGGCGAAGGCGGGUCUCUGGACAGUUCCUGACGCUGAGGCACGAAGGUCAGGGGAGCAAACGGG